rnacentral:rRNA from 1 species
AUUGAACGCUGGCGGCAGGCCUAACACAUGCAAGUCGAACGAGUGGCGGACGGGUGAGUAAUGUCUGGGAAACUGCCCGAUGGAGGGGGAUCACUACUGGAAACGGUCGCUAAUACCGCAAACCAUCGGAUUUGCCCAGAUGGGAUUAGCGAGUGGGUGGGGUAACGGCUCACCUAGGCGACGAUCCCUAGCUGGUCUGAGAGGAUGACCAGCCACACGGGAACUGAGACACGGUCCAGACUCCUAGGGGAGGCAGAAGUGGGGAAUAUUGACAAAUGGCCGCAAGCCUGAUGCAGCCAGGCCGCGUGUAUGAAGAAGGCCUUCGGGUUGUAAAGUACUUUCAGCGGGGAGGCGUUACCCGCAGAAGAAGCAACGGCUAACUCCGUGCCAGCAGCCGCGGUAAUUC